rnacentral:rRNA from 1 species
AGUGAACGCUGGCGGUAGGCCUAACACAUGCAAGUCGAGCGGCAGCACAGUAAUAGCUUGUUCUUACGGCUGGCGAGUGGCGGACGGGGGAGGAAUACAUGGGUAUCUACUUGGGCGAGGGUGCGAACACGGGGAAUCUUACGCUAAUAGCGCAUACGACCUACGGGUGGAAUCUGGGGACCUUCGGACCUUGGACGAUCCAAUGUCGGAUUAGCUAGUUGGCGGGGUAAAGGCCUACCAAGGCGACGAUCCGUAACUGGUCUGAGAGGAUGAUCAGUCACACUGGAACUGAGACACGGUCCAGACUCCUACGGGAGGCAGCAGUGGGGAAUAUUGGACAAUGGGCGCAAGCCUGAUCCAGCCAUACCGCGUGGGUGAAGAAGGUCUUCGGGUUGUAAAGCACUUUUGUUGGGGAAGAAAAGCAGCAAGUUAAUACCUCGCUGUUCUGACGGUACCAAAAGAAUAAGCACCGGCUAACUUCGUG